AUCAUUCCAGAAUCAAGCCUGCCUCUGCAUCAUGUGAAGUAACAUUUGUUGAUCUUGACAACCCUUUUUGAAACUCCAUUCUUAGAGAACAAAGAUACUUGUUGAAAAUAAAUAAAUAUCAACAAGUGGGUGUUUUGAUGGCCAUAAUAAUGCCUGACCACCUGCCAUCGAUGGAAAGCCGAAUACCCCAAAAGGGGACCUCGUGAAACUAAAGAGAAACAAACAUACUCCUUACCCUGCAGCCCUCACGUCUGAGGUGCCAUACACACAGUCAAAGCUUCUUCA